rnacentral:rRNA from 1 species
CACGGCCUAUCAGCUUGUUGGUGAGGUAAUGGCUCACCAAGGCGUCGACGGGUAGCCGGCCUGAGAGGGUGACCGGCCACACUGGGACUGAGACACGGCCCAGACUCCUACGGGAGGCAGCAGUGGGGAAUAUUGCACAAUGGGCGCAAGCCUGAUGCAGCAACGCCGCGUGGGGGAUGACGGCCUUCGGGUUGUAAACCCCUUUUAGUAGGGAAGAAGCCUUCGGGUGACGGUACCUGCAGAAAAAGCGCCGGCUAACUACGUGCCAGCAGCCGCGGUAAUACGUAGGGCGCAAGCGUUAUCCGGAAUUAUUGGGCGUAAAGAGCUCGUAGGCGGCUUGUCGCGUCUGCUGUGAAAACUGGAGGCUCAACUUCCAGCGUGCAGUGGGUACGGGCAGGCUAGAGUGCGGUAGGGGAGAUUGGAAUUCCUGGUGUAGCGGUGGAAUGCGCAGAUAUCAGGAGGAACACCGAUGGCGAAGGCAGAUCUCUGGGCCGUAACUGACGCUGAGGAGCGAAAGAGUGGGGAGCGAACAGGCUUAGAUACCCUGGUAGUCCACUCCGUAAACGUUGGGAACUAGUUGUGGGGGCCUUUCCACGGUCUCCGUGACGCAGCUAACGCAUUAAGUUCCCCGCCUGGGGAGUACGG